rnacentral:rRNA from 1 species
AUUGAACGCUGGCGGCAGGCCUAACACAUGCAAGUCGAGCGAGCGGCGGACGGGUGAGUAAUGCCUGGGAAACUGCCUGAUGGAGGGGGAUAACUACUGGAAACGGUAGCUAAUACCGCAUCCCAUCAGAUGUGCCCAGAUGGGAUUAGAUAGUAGGUGGGGUAACGGCUCACCUAGGCGACGAACCCUAGCUGGUCUGAGAGGAGGACCAGCCACACGGGGACGGAGACACGGUCCAGACUCCUACGGGAGGAAGCAGUGGGGAAUAUUGCACAAUGGGCGCAAGCCUGAUGCAGCAAUGCCGCGUGUGUGAAGAAGGCCUUCGGGUUGUAAAGCACUUUCAGCGGGGAGGCGUUACCCGCAGAAGAAGCACCGGCUAACUCCGUGCCAGCAGCCGCGGUAAUAC